GUGAAAGCGCACUGUUGGGCCGCACUCGCAUUGGAAAUGGAUGCUGUAUCAGUGGCAAGCAUGUGUGUUAUGAAGCCUCUCACCAGUGCGGCCACAUAGACCUUGUAGACGGGGUCGGCGCAGACCAUGGAGAGCACACUACAGCACGACUCCACCACCACCUCUCCGGUCACUGCUCCCAGUCCCGCCCCCGGCCCCGCCCCGGCCAAUGAGUGCUCCCCGUUCGCCAGCAGGAGCGCCCCGCUCACGUCAUGUGACAGCCGCCGGAGCGCCAUCUCCCUGAUGUUCCA